GCGGGUCAGCAAGGGCCGGGGGGGGGCUCAGCCCUGAGGCGUCCGUGUGGCUACUCCUCAAAGCGCUCUUUUUGCUACCCGUUGCCUUCCCUCCUAUUCCAGCAGCGCUCACUUUACUCUUCCCUUUUAGAUCAGCCCAGCCAGAUCUCACCGCAACAGAAAAACCCUUUAAAUGGGAAAGUUUUUGUUUAAAACACACGCAGCCCUCGAAAUGCAGGGGAAGGCUGGAUUCUGCCCUUUCUCACCAGGAAGCCUUGCAGGGCUGCUGGAAGAGCUGUUCGUUCUCCUUUGCUGCAGUUAUUUUUCAAGGAAGUGACAGGCCUGGGCUUAAAAGGGAAAUCCAGCCAUUUCUCUGCAUGCCCUAACAGGGUUCUGUGAUUAGGAAGGAAACAGGCUGUGGAGUUCAGCCUUUGUGAAUUGCAGAGUUCUGAAGUGAAGCAGGGGAAAAAAAACCACCCACCCACCUGACGGAAGGGGAAUGAGUUAUAAAGCUUUGAUCCGAAGCAGAUGAUGGUGGAAAUACUCCCGUUUUGAGGCUUGGAAGGUUCCUUGUUCUGAUGCUGAUCUUAACAGUUCACUGUCCACAGCCAGGAUCCGUCUGACCAAAGGUAGACAAGGAUAGGCAGCUGAGCUGAGCUCCUCUGAGCUGGUGCCUUUGAUUCCCCUUAAAGCUAAUGGAGCGGAAAAGGUGGUAGAAUUCAGCCUUUAGAUUUCUAAAACAGGGCAGAUUUCCCUCACUGCUUUUUGAAUCUCCAGCAACCCCGAGCAGCCUCAUGUCAUUGCAAACCACACCUUUUCCUGAAGGAGGGAUGGAGCUUGAACACAAGUCUCAUUGUUUCCAGUUCAUUGUUCAAGAAUUCUGUCAUCUGUUUCUGUGGCUGAUUUAUUUGUUAACAAGAGAGCACUCGGGAAACUAUUCCUGUAUUGCUUUGUUACUUAUGUCGAUGCCCUUCUUUUUCUUUGAAAUAUUUAGGGGAAUCUAUGCACAGCUUACACUAGAUAUCAAGGAAACCAUGGUGGAAGAUUGACAUCUAAACAUACUCUGUUUCUUGUCAAAGUAAAGAUGUCAUCCCAGAUGCACCAAAAUGUUGCAGACAGAAUGUUGAGUUGCACUUAAUUUGGGCAACAAACAGUAAGAGCAGCCAAUGCUUAAUGAAGAUAAAUUGUUCUUCAGUUACUAGCAACGAUUCUUUGAAACAGUUACCCUGCAUUUAACAGUGAUCAUGUUACUCAAACACCUGAGUGUUUGCUGAUGAACGAAACAAUAAUAAAACAAUGCCUCUCUUCCU
rnacentral:lncRNA from 7 species